GAUGAACGCUGGCGGCGUGCCUAAUACAUGCAAGUCGAGCGAAUGGAUUAAGAGCUUGCUCUUAUGAAGUUAGCGGCGGACGGGUGAGUAGCACGUGGGUAACCUGCCCAUAAGACUGGGAUAACUCCGGGAAACCGGGGCUAAUACCGGAUAACAUUUUGAACCGCAUGGUUCGAAAUUGAAAGGCGGCUUCGGCUGUCACUUAUGGAUUGACCCGCGUCGCAUUAGCUAGUUGGUGAGGUAACGGCUCACCAAGGCAACGAUGCGUAGCCGACCUGAGAGGGUGAUCGGCCACACUGGGACUGAGACACGGCCCAGACUCCUACGGGAGGCAGCAGUAGGGAAUCUUCCGCAAUGGACGAAAGUCUGACGGAGCAACGCCGCGUGAGUGAUGAAGGCUUUCGGGUCGUAAAACUCUGUUGUUAGGGAAGAACAAGUGCUAGUUGAAUAAGCUGGCACCUUGACGGUACCUAACCAGAAAGCCACGGCUAACUACGUGCCAGCCGCCGCGGUAA
rnacentral:rRNA from 1 species